CCUACGGGAGGCAGCAGUGGGGAAUUUUGGACAAUGGGCGAAAGCCUGAUCCAGCCAUUCCGCGUGCAGGAUGAAGGCCCUCGGGUUGUAAACUGCUUUUGUACAGAACGAAAAGGUUUCUAUUAAUACUAGGAGCUCAUGACGGUACUGUAAGAAUAAGCACCGGCUAACUACGUGCCAGCAGCCGCGGUAAUACGUAGGGUGCAAGCGUUAAUCGGAAUUACUGGGCGUAAAGCGUGCGCAGGCGGUUAUAUAAGUCAGAUGUGAAAUCCCCGGGCUCAACCUGGGAACUGCAUUUGAGACUGUAUAGCUAGAGUACGGUAGAGGGGGAUGGAAUUCCGCGUGUAGCAGUGAAAUGCGUAGAUAUGCGGAGGAACACCGAUGGCGAAGGCAAUCCCCUGGACCUGUACUGACGCUCAUGCACGAAAGCGUGGGGAGCAAACAGGAUUAGAUACCCUGGUAGUCCACGCCCUAAACGAUGUCACUGGUUGUUGGUCUUACUGACUCAGUAACGAGCUAACGCGNGAGUAGACGCGNGGAGACGCGCGAGUAGACGACGAGAGUAGAGCGNGAGAGNGCGAGACGACGACGAGGGAGGAGG
rnacentral:rRNA from 1 species